CGGCGCCGGAGGCGCAGAGGCGGACGCGGCGUUCGGAGCCGUUGCCGCGGGCAGGCCGGGCGGCGGCGGCGGUUCGGCUGCCGCCGGUACGGG
rnacentral:tRNA from 1 species